CUACGGGAGGCAGCAGUGGGGAAUAUUGCACAAUGGGGGAAACCCUGAUGCAGCGACGCCGCGUGGAGGAAGAAGGUCUUCGGAUUGUAAACUCCUGUUGUUGAGGAAGAUAAUGACGGUACUCAACAAGGAAGUGACGGCUAACUACGUGCCAGCAGCC
rnacentral:rRNA from 1 species